rnacentral:rRNA from 1 species
GAUGAACGCUAGCGAUAGGCCUAACACAUGCAAGUCGAGGGGCAGCAUAGAGUAGCAAUACUUUGAUGGCGAACGGCGCACGGGUGAGUAACACGUAUGCAACCUACCUACAUCAGGGGAAUAACCCGGAGAAAUUCGGACUAAUACCGCAUAAUACAGGGAUGCCGCAUGGCACUAUUUGUUAAAGAUUUAUCGGAUGUAGAUGGGCAUGCGUUCCAUUAGCUAGUUGGUGAGGUAACGGCUCACCAAGGCAACGAUGGAAAGGGGAACUGAGAGGUUUGUCCCCCACACUGGAACUGAGACACGGACCAGACUCCUACGGGAGGCAGCAGUGAGGAAUAUUGGUCAAUGGACGAGAGUCUGAACCAGCCAAAUCGCGUGAAGGAAGACUGCCCUACGGGUUGUAAACUUCUUUUGUACAGGAAUAAAAGACAUUACGUGUAAUGUAUUGCAUGUACUGUACGAAUAAGCAUCGGCUAACUCCGUGCCAGCAGCCGCGGUAA